CCGGAUACGAUAGAGGGGCUGCUGGAGUAUUUUCUUGACACCGAUGCAAGGGAGCUCGAGUUUGAGAUCUCCAGGUUGAGACAAAGAUUAACCAAAGAAUUCUUUGACCAUAUAAAGCUCGAACUUGGACAGCUGCGAUUUGCUGUGAAUAGAACACAGGAGAUGGAAGAUAGAAUGAUUGAAC